GCCUCAGUGGCGCAAUGGUGGCGUUUUGGACUUCUACCCCGAUCAGGGAAGGCAAUCCAAAGGCUGCGGGUUCGAGUCCCGUCUGAGGUG